rnacentral:rRNA from 1 species
UACGAAGGGGGGCUAGCGUUGUUCGGAAUACUGGGCGUAAAGCGCACGCAGGCGGAUUGAUAAGUCAGGGGUGAAAUCCCGGGGCUCAACCUCGGAAUUGCCUUUGAUACUGUCUGUCUUCGAGUUCGGGAGAGGUUGGCGGAAUUCCUAGUGUAGAGGUGAAAUUCGUAGAUAUUAGGAAGAACACCAGUGGCGAAGGCGGCCACUG